rnacentral:sRNA from 1 species
AAAGUUUCAAUAACCCAACUCGGCAAACUUAAUUUGU